UACGUAGGGUGCGAGCGUUGUCCGGAAUUAUUGGGCGUAAAGGGCUCGUAGGCGGUUUGUCGCGUCGGGAGUGAAAUCCACUGGCUUAACUGGUGGCUUGCUUUCGAUACGGGCAGACUGGAGGUAUGCAGGGGAGAACGGAAUUCCUAGUGUAGCGGUGAAAUGCGCAGAUAUCAGGAGGAACACCGGUGGCGGAAGGCGGUUCUCUGGGCAUGUCCUGACGCUGAGGAGCGAAAGUGUGGGGAGCGAACAGG
rnacentral:rRNA from 1 species